AUUUUCUUAAAACAGUUUGGAGAAAUAAUGCUUCAGGAAGAAGAAAGUCUCUCCAUCACAUAGUUGGAGGUCAUAAAGGAAAGACGGUUCGCGUGAAGCGGCUGUAAGGACACACUCAAACAUAGUUAGGUGUUAACCUGCACUCGACAUGAGAUAUUGACAACAUUCUCUGCUUUGGCUACGCCUCUACAGCUUCUCACUUUGUAAAUGAGUGAAAUGAAAGUCUGUUUUCUGGAGACUCUUCAUGGUUUUUACAUUGAGUGGAUCUGAUUGAACGUCUCGUGUCUUGAGUUUGGAAAUUGAUUGAACCAGCGAUGUUCUGCUCACAUGUUGUGCCGUGUUUCUGUUUAGGCAGGUGGACAGUGAAGUGCAGUUUUGUGUUCCACUUAAUCCACAAUGCUACAUGAAUCAGACAGAAGGAUGUUUAGAUUGGUCUAAGAUAAGAAGUUCAAUACAUUGAUGACAAACGGCCUCCUCAUGGAAACAUAUAGACACUAUUGUAAUUCAGUUAUUAUAAUAUUUAAAAACUACAUUCAUAAAGAAAUAUAAUUGCCAAAAAAUAAAUAUUGCAGAUUUUUUAGAUAAUUAAGUGGGACUGUGUGGCUCUUACGAAACUAGACGAAAUGGCUCUUUUCAUGUUAAAGGUUGCAGACUGCUGGUCCAGUUUUACAAAACUAGAUUAUUAAAGUAUUUAAGAUCACAUUUUUGCUGAUCUUUAAUAUUUUUUCAGCUUUUGUUUAAGUUCUUUUAGUUUGAGGACAGAUUUGGAACAAACUUCAACAGCUUGAAGAUAAAUAUUAAAUAAUUAAAUAUAAAGUAAAUGGUGAUGCGAGCUUGAACAGAAACACGACUGGAGAACUCAAACAAAUUAAAAGCAACAUAAAUGAAAUCUUAGACUUAAGUAGACACAAGCUGUGAUCAGAAACAGGAUGCAGCUGUGAGGAUUUCAAAGUAAAAGCAGCUGUGAUGUAAAAUGGGAAAAAUCCGGAACAUGGCGUGAACAUCUGAGAAUGUUAGAACAACAAAAUACAACAAACCAAACAGGAUCAAAACAUUUCCUUUGGAACAAAAUCCAGAAGAGACACAGAACAUUUCCAGGCCUUAUUAACCCUUAGUAGUCUGGGAACUUUGGGGGAUUUUUUUAAAACUACUUUACAUCUAGGUAAUUUAUUUUUAAAAUUACUUUUACAGCUUGGUUUUAAUGUUUGAUUUCUUUUUUAGCUUUAUUUUUUUCUAUAUGUAUUUUAUAUUUUAUUUUAGACAAUGAUUCCACUCUAAAGCUCAAACUUUCCAAAAAACUCAAUUCUAAGGAGUAAAUUUAGUCAUUAUCUUUUACUGCAAAAAUCACUUAAAUAAACAAGCAGUUUUUACAUUUUAUAUUAAACACUCAUGUUGAUUUAAAACAAAAAAUUUCUAAACUAAAAACCAAAAAAUAAAAA